rnacentral:rRNA from 1 species
CUGAGUACGGCGGAACACGUGAAAUUCCGUCGGAAUCCGGGAGGACCAUCUCCCAAGGCUAAAUACUCCCUAGUGACCGAUAGUGAACCAGUACCGUGAGGGAAAGGUGAAAAGCACCCCGGAAGGGGAGUGAAACAGUUCCUGAAACCGUGUGCCUACAAGUAGUUAGAGCCCGUUAAUGGGUGAUAGCGUGCCUUUUGUAGAAUGAACCGGCGAGUUACGAUUUGUUGCAAGGUUAAGCGGAAAAAGCGGAGCCGUAGCGAAAGCGAGUCUGAAUAGGGCGCAUAAGUAACAGGUCGUAGACCCGAAACCAGGUGAUCUACCCAUGUCCAGGAUGAAGGUAAGGUAAUACUUACUGGAGGUCCGAACCCACGCACGUUGAAAAGUGCGGGGAUGAGGUGUGGGUAGCGGAGAAAUUCCAAUCGAACUUGGAGAUAGCUGGUUCUCUCCGAAAUAGCUUUAGGGCUAGCCUCGAGGUAAAGAGUCAUGGAGGUAGAGCACUGUUUGGACUAGGGGCCCUUCUCGGGUUACCGAAUUCAGAUAAACUCCGAAUGCCAUGUACUUAUACUCGGGAGUCAGACUGCGAGUGAUAAGAUCCGUAGUCGAAAGGGAAACAGCCCAGACCACCAGUUAAGGUCCCCAAAUAUAUGUUAAGUGGAAAAGGAUGUGGGGUUGCUUAGACAACCAGGAUGUUGGCUUAGAAGCAGCCACCAUUGAAAGAGUGCGUAAUAGCUCACUGGUCGAGUGACCCCGCGCCGAAAAUGUACCGGGGCUAAACAUAUUACCGAAACUGUGGAUGAACCUCUUUAGAGGUUCGUGGUAGGAGAGCGUUCUAAGGGCGGUGAAGUCAGACCGGAAGGACUGGUGGAGCGCUUAGAAGUGAGAAUGCCGGUAUGAGUAGCGAAAGAAGGGUGAGAAUCCCUUCCACCGAAUAUCUAAGGUUUCCUGAGGAAGGCUCGUCCGCUCAGGGUUAGUCGGGACCUAAGCCGAGGCCGAUAGGCGUAGGCGAUGGACAACAGGUAGAGAUUCCUGUACCAGUGCUAAUUGUUUAACCGAUGGGGUGACACAGAAGGAUAGGGAAUCGCACGAAUGGAAAUGUGCGUCCAAGCAGUGAGUGUGAGAAGUAGGCAAAUCCGCUUCUCGCGAAGCAUGAGCUGUGAUGGGGAAGGAAAUUAAGUACGGAAGUUCCUGAUUUCACGCUGUCAAGAAAAGCCUCUAGGAAGAGUAGUACUGCCCGUACCGCAAACCGACACAGGUAGAUGAGGAGAGAAUCCUAAGGUGAGCGAGAGAACUCUCGUUAAGGAACUCGGCAAAAUGACCCCGUAACUUCGGGAGAAGGGGUGCUCUAUUAGGGUGCAAGCCCGAGAGAGCCGCAGUGAAUAGGCCCAGGCGACUGUUUAGCAAAAACACAGGUCUCUGCAAAACCGUAAGGUGACGUAUAGGGGCUGACGCCUGCCCGGUGCUGGAAGGUUAAGAGGAGUGCUUAGCUUCGGCGAAGGUACGAAUUGAAGCCCCAGUAAACGGCGGCCGUAACUAUAACGGUCCUAAGGUAGCGAAAUUCCUUGUCGGGUAAGUUCCGACCCGCACGAAAGGCGCAACGAUCUGGGCACUGUCUCAACGAGAGACUCGGUGAAAUUAUAGUACCUGUGAAGAUGCAGGUUACCCGCGACAGGACGGAAAGACCCCGUGGAGCUUUACUGCAACCUGAUAUGGAAUGUUUGUACCGCUUGUACAGGAUAGGUAGGAGCCGAAGAGACGUGUGCGCUAGCAUACGAGGAGGCAAUGGUGGGAUACUACCCUGGCUGUAUGACCAUUCUAACCCGCCACGCUUAGCGCGUGGGGAGACAGUGUCAGGUGGGCAGUUUGACUGGGGCGGUCGCCUCCUAAAGAGUAACGGAGGCGCCCAAAGGUUCCCUCAGAAUGGAUGGAAAUCAUUCGCAGAGUGUAAAGGCACAAGGGAGCUUGACUGCGAGACUGACAAGUCGAGCAGGGACGAAAGUCGGGCUUAGUGAUCCGGUGGUUCCGCAUGGAAGGGCCAUCGCUCAACGGAUAAAAGCUACCCCGGGGAUAACAGGCUUAUCUCCCCCAAGAGUCCACAUCGACGGGGAGGUUUGGCACCUCGAUGUCGGCUCGUCGCAUCCUGGGGCUGUAGUCGGUCCCAAGGGUUGGGCUGUUCGCCCAUUAAAGCGGCACGCGAGCUGGGUUCAGAACGUCGUGAGACAGUUCGGUCCCUAUCCGUCGCGGGCGCAGGAAAUUUGAGAGGAGCUGUCCUUAGUACGAGAGGACCGGGAUGGACACACCGCUGGUGUACCAGUUGUUCCGCCAGGAGCAUCGCUGGGUAGCUAUGUGUGGCAGGGAUAAACGCUGAAAGCAUCUAAGCGUGAAGCCCCCCUCAAGAUGAGAUUUCCCAUUUCUUCGGAAAGUAAGAUCCCUGAAAGAUGAUCAGGUAGAUAGGUUUGGAGUGGAAGUGUAGCGA